ensembl:lncRNA
AAAAAAUUUCCAAGUAUGGGGAAAGAAUUCAACAUACAGAGUAGACUUCAAGUCAGCACUGAUCAGAAGAGGCAAAGAAAGUCAUUAAAUAUUGGUCCAGGGAACUAUUCAACAGGAAGAGACAACCAUUAUAAUAUAUAUGCACUGAACACCAGUGCACCCAAAUUCAUAAAACAAAUACUACUGCACAAAAACAAACUAUCCUUUUGGCAAAUGAAAGAUCUUUUACAUGGACGACCCCCAAAUCCCACUGUUGUAGUUAGGGUUUGCAAAGGAAAUAGAUUUAAUACAGGGCACAUAAAUUAUAGGAUUAUUUUAUAAUCGUCAUCCAAAAAGUCAAAUGCAGAGGAGUGCAAGAGAUCUAGCCAUGCACUAGAGACUUGAAGAAUCCAGGCAAGGGCCUGGAUCCCACAGCAACCCCCUCCCCACAAGUCCAGCUGAAGGCCUAGAGUCCAAGGCAAUGUCCUCCAUGAGUCCAGCCAGAGGCCUAGAACCCAUAGUAAUGUCUCAUGCUUGUCCAUAUCAAGGAUCUUCAGCAGGAAGGCCCAAAGGCCAGUGGUGGAAGGUAGAAAGAUUUGUGCCACCAGGCUGAGGAAUCUACACUGGAGCCAGGAAAUGAUGCUCAUAGAAAAGACAAGAGCUCCCCUGAGGAGAAUAGCAGCUAUUCAGAGAACAGCCAAGUUCACAUCAGGAAAACCACCCACAGCAAGCUUCUCCAAGAAAAUCAACAGCCAGUGAUCUUCCCCUCCAGUUCUCUUUUUGCGCCACUGGAAACAAUCCUCAGUUGUAGCGCUGAGAUUCCCUGGACUGGGUUCGAAUGUUUGGAGUGGGCAGUACUCGAGACAGGACCCUUCAGUGACUUCACCUCCACCUGGAUCAUCACCUAUGGUCCUCGGGCUAAUCGUCUGGAGAAAGUGCUUGAUGAAUCUCAGAGACCCUGGCCUGCUAACACAGAGCAGUCGCUGUUAGAAGUAACGGUGGACAUGGCAUUACUUUGCUUACUAAGCGAUAUUAACAAACAUUUAUUGAGCACCAAUUCUUCUUUUAUUUUUCAUAGAACAGC